rnacentral:rRNA from 1 species
GAUGAACGCUGGCGGCGUGCCUAAUACUUGCAAGUCGAGCGAACGGACGGGAAGCUUGCUUCUCUGAUGUUAGCGGCGGACGGGUGAGUAACACGUGGAUAACCUACCUAUAAGACUGGGAUAACUUCGGGAAACCGGAGCUAAUACCGGAUAAUAUUUUGAACCGCAUGGUUCAAAAGUGAAAGACGGUCUUGCUGUCACUUAUAGAUGGAUCCGCGCUGCAUUAGCUAGUUGGUAAGGUAACGGCUUACCAAGGCAACGAUGCAUAGCCGACCUGAGAGGGUGAUCGGCCACACUGGAACUGAGACACGGUCCAGACUCCUACGGGAGGCAGCAGUAGGGAAUCUUCCGCAAUGGGCGAAAGCCUGACGGAGCAACGCCGCGUGAGUGAUGAAGGUCUUCGGAUCGUAAAACUCUGUUAUUAGGGAAGAACAUAUGUGUAAGUAACUGUGCACAUCUUGACGGUACCUAAUCAGAAAGCCACGGCUAACUACGUG